GGAGGGGUGGCUGAGUGGUCGAAAGCACUGGUCUUGAAAACCAGCGUACGGCGACGUACCCAGGGUUCAAAUCCCUGCCCCUCCGCCA
rnacentral:tRNA from 2 species